AGUACCAGUGCUUCAGAGGCAACUUUUGACGAUAGUGGAUUUACAAUUCAAGUGGAUGUCCGACAUUUUAACCCCAAGGAUCUCCUGGUCAAAGUGAUUGGAGAAUUUGUAGAGGUUCAAGGAAAGCAUGAAGAAAAAAAGAUAGCCCGGGGAUGACAACGCGACAGUUUAACCGUCGCUAUCGAAUUCCAAAGGGAGUGGACACCAUGGCUUUGGAAUCGGCAGUUUCCCCAGAUGGUGUCCUUAUUAUAUCUGCACCCAUGCUGCAAACAGAGAUG